rnacentral:rRNA from 1 species
GAGUUUGAUCAUGGCUCAGGAUGAACGCUGGCGGCGUGCUUAACACAUGCAAGUCGAACGGGAAACAUUUUAUUGAAGCUUCGGCAGAUUUAGUUUGUUUCUAGUGGCGGACGGGUGAGUAACGCGUGGGUAACCUGCCUCACACUGGGGCCCGCGUUGGAUUAGCCAGUUGGCAGGGUAACGGCCUACCAAAGCGACGAUCCAUAGCCGGCCUGAGAGGGUGAACGGCCACAUUGGGACUGAGACACGGCCCCAGACUCCUACGGGAGGCAGCAGUGGGGAAUAUUGCACAAUGGGGGAAACCCCUGAUGCAGCGACGCCGCGUGAAGGAAGAAGUAUCUCGGUAUGUAAACUUCUAUCAGCAGGGAAGAAAUGACGGUACCUGACUAAGAACGCCCCGG